CCUACGGGAGGCAGCAGUGAGGAAUAGUGGUCAAUGGGCGCGAGCCUGAACCAGCCAAGUAGCGUGAAGGAUGACUGCCCUACGGGUUGUAAACGUCUGGUAUAAAGGAAUAAAGUGAGGCAAGUGUGCCGUUUUGUAUGUACUUUAUGAAUAAGGAUCGGCUAACUCCGUGCCAGCAGCCGCGGUAAUACGGAGGAUCCGAGCGUUAUCCGGAUUUAUUGGGUGUAAAGGGAGCGUAGAUGGGUUGUUAAGUCAGUUGUGAAAGUUUGCGGCUCCACCGUAAAAUUGCAAUUUAUACUGGCAGCCUUGAGUACAGUUGAGGUAGGCGGACUUC
rnacentral:rRNA from 1 species